GCCUACGGGGCGCAGCAGUGGGGAAUAUUGGGCAAUGGGCGCAAGCCUGACCCAGCAACGCCGCGUGAAGGAAGAAGGCUUUCGGGUUGUAAACUUCUUUUCUCAGGGACGAAGCAAGUGACGGUACCUGAGGAAUAAGCCACGGCUAACUACGUGCCAGCAGCCGCGGUAAUACGUAGGUGGCAAGCGUUAUCCGGAUUUACUGGGUGUAAAGGGCGUGUAGGCGGGAUUGCAAGUCAGAUGUGAAAUUCCAGGGCUCAACCCUGGAACUGCAUUUGAAACUGUAGUUCUU
rnacentral:rRNA from 1 species